UACGGGGGGAGCAAGCGUUGUUCGGAUUUACUGGGCGUAAAGGGCGCGUAGGCGGCCAUGACAAGUCACUUGUGAAAUCUCCGGGCUUAACUCGGAAAGGUCAAGUGAUACUGUCGGGCUAGAGUACAGAAGGGGCAACUGGAAUUCUCGGUGUAGCGGUGAAAUGCGUAGAUAUCGAGAGGAACACCUGCGGCGAAGGCGGGUUGCUGGGCUGAUACUGACGCUGAUGCGCGAAAGCCAGGGGAGCGAACGGG
rnacentral:rRNA from 1 species